UUGGCGGUUCGCUGCUGGCGACGUCGCGAGAAGUCCACUGAACCUUAUCAUUUAGAGGAAGGAGAAGUCGUAACAAGGUUUCCGUAGGUGAACCUGCGGAAGGAUCAUUGUCGAAACACGCCCCGCACAGAUUGACCAGUGAACAUGUACACUCACUUUGACGAUUGCCCUCGAGCAUCCGUCAGCUGGCUCUGCGGACUCAUCCCUGCGGAGCCAACAACAACCAACCCCGGCGCGGUGAGCGUCAAGGAAAACAAACACGGGAGAUCUUUCUUCCAAGCCCUUUGGCGAGGAAGUGGACUCGUUGUGGCCUCUAUAUAUAAAUGACUCUCGGCAACGGAUAUCUCGGCUCUCGCAUCGAUGAAGAACGUAGCGAAAUGCGAUACUUGGUGUGAAUUGCAGAAUCCCGUGAACCAUCGAGUCUUUGAACGCAAGUUGCGCCCUAUGCCUUCGGGCUGAGGGCACGUCUGCCUGGGUGUCACACAUCGUCGCCCCCUCGAACGAUCGAGAAAGAGGGCGGAGAUUGGCCUCCCGUCGACUUCAGUCUUCGGUUGGCCGAAAUAACUUGGCAUCGAGCGUCGCGGCAUCUGGUGGGUCGAACACGGUUUGUCGGAGUCGCUGGCGCACGUUUGCCGCAUGAUGAGCGGAAGCUCAAGGCCCUUGAAACUAAACUGACGCGACCCCAGGUCAGGCGGGAGCACCCGCUAGUUUAAGCAUAUCAAUAAGCGNAGGAGAAGAANCU
rnacentral:rRNA from 1 species